CCCCUCUCAGGGUCGCACCUGGAGAGUUUCCAGUAUUCUCCCAGUCACGACUACAGGAAGGAGAGUCAAGCAGAGGCCUACUCACUCCAUUCCUAGCUUGGACAGUGGCUGGCGAGUGGCAGGGAAUCUGCUACAAGU